AGAGUUUGAUCAUGGCUCAGAUUGAACGCUGGCGGCAGGCCUAACACAUGCAAGUCGAGCGGUAGCACAGAGAGCUUGCUCUCGGGUGACGAGCGGCGGACGGGUGAGUAAUGUCUGGGAAACUGCCUGAUGGAGGGGGAUAACUACUGGAAACGGUAGCUAAUACCGCAUAACGUCGCAAGACCAAAGUGGGGGACCUUCGGGCCUCAUGCCAUCAGAUGUGCCCAGAUGGGAUUAGCUAGUAGGUGGGGUAACGGCUCACCUAGGCGACGAUCCCUAGCUGGUCUGAGAGGAUGACCAGCCACACUGGAACUGAGACACGGUCCAGACUCCUACGGGAGGCAGCAGUGGGGAAUAUUGCACAAUGGGCGCAAGCCUGAUGCAGCCAUGCCGCGUGUGUGAAGAAGGCCUUCGGGUUGUAAAGCACUUUCAGCGGGGAGGAAGGCGAUAAGGUUAAUAACCUUGUCGAUUGACGUUACCCGCAGAAGAAGCACCGGCUAACUCCGUGCCAGCAGCCGCGGUAAUACGGAGGGUGCAAGCGUUAAUCGGAAUUACUGGGCGUAAAGCGCACGCAGGCGGUCUGUCAAGUCGGAUGUGAAAUCCCCGGGCUCAACCUGGGAACUGCAUUCGAAACUGGCAGGCUAGAGUCUUGUAGAGGGGGGGUAGAAUUCCAUGUGUAGCGGGUGAAAUGCGUAGAGAUCUGGAGGAAUACCGGUGGCGAAGGCGGCCCCCUGGACAAAGACUGACGCUCAGGUGCGAAAGCGUGGGGAGCAAACAGGAUUAGAUACCCUGGUAGUCCACGCCGUAAACGAUGUCGAUUUGGAGGUUGUGCCCUUGAGGCGUGGCUUCCGGAGCUAACGCGUUAAAUCGACCGCCUGGGGAGUACGGCCGCAAGGUUAAAACUCAAAUGAAUUGACGGGGGCCCGCACAAGCGGUGGAGCAUGUGGUUAAUUCGAUGCAACGCGAAGAACCUUACCUGGUCUUGACAUCCACAGAACUUAGCAGAGAUGCUUUGGUGCCUUCGGGAACUGUGAGACAGGUGCUUGCAUGGCUGUCGUCAGCUCGUGUUGUGAAAUGUUGGGUUAAGUCCGCAACGAGCGCAACCCUUAUCCUUUGUUGCCAGCGGUUAGGCCGGGAACUCAAAGGAGACUGCCAGUGAUAAACUGGAGGAAGGUGGGGAUGACGUCAAGUCAUCAUGGCCCUUACGACCAGGGCUACACACGUGCUACAAUGGCAUAUACAAAGAGAAGCGACCUCGCGAGAGCAAGCGGACCUCAUAAAGUAUGUCGUAGUCCGGAUUGGAGUCUGCAACUCGACUCCAUGAAGUCGGAAUCGCUAGUAAUCGUAGAUCAGAAUGCUACGGUGAAUACGUUCCCGGGCCUUGUACACACCGCCCGUCACACCAUGGGAGUGGGUUGCAAAAGAAGUAGGUAGCUUAACCUUCGGGAGGGCGCUUACCACUUUGUGAUUCAUGACUGGGGUGAAGUCGUAACAAGGUAACCGUAGGGGAACCUGCGGUUGGAUCACCU
rnacentral:rRNA from 1 species